rnacentral:rRNA from 1 species
AUGUAUGAAAUGGAAGCCCUAAGUGAUCUCCACUCCAAAAGAUUAUUUUUCAAAAAAAUAUUUGGUUCCGAGGACUAUUGCCCUCAUGUGCUAAAAGGAAUUGCAAAUAAAAUACCCAAGAAAUGUGGUGGCCUCCCAUUAUCAAUUAUCAGCAUAUCAAGUUUAUUGGCAAACAUACUGAUGGUCAAAGAUGAGUGGGAGAGAGUGGAGGCCUCCCGCCCUGGACAGUCUGCCCAACGACAUGACUCAACGAGCUGCAGCAGCUGCGUGCCGCCGAGCCGCUCCAACGAGAAACAGGCGCCACCGUCGGCCCCAGCUUCAGGCAUCUGUUUGACAAUCUAUGUGCUGAGAAGACGGGCAUGGAAGAUGCAUAGUCGUGCAGUACAGUCUGCACAGACAAGUGUUGCUAAACUUUCCAUGAACAAAUUCGGAGUUUCCGACAAGUUUAAAUUCUUGCAGACCAGCACAAUGUAUACACGUUGUGAUCAUUGCAAGCAAUGCGUGGACGGUUGCAAGAUUACCUGGGUUAUCGUGUUAAGUUUUCAGCUUUGGAUGGUUCCAUGA